rnacentral:rRNA from 1 species
CCUACGGGAGGCAGCAGUGGGGAAUAUUGCACAAUGGGGGAAACCCUGAUGCAGCGACGCCGCGUGAGUGAAGAAGUAUUUCGGUAUGUAAAGCUCUAUCAGCAGGGAAGAAACCCACCCUCCGGGGUGGCUGACGGUACCUGACUAAGAAGCCCCGGCUAACUACGUGCCAGCAGCCGCGGUAAUACGUAGGGGGCAAGCGUUAUGCGGAUUUACUGGGUGGAAAGGGAGCGUAGACGGCAAGGCAAGCCAGAAGUGAAAGGGCAGGGGUUAACCCUGUACAUGCUUUUGGAACUGGGGUGCUAGAGUGGAGGAGAGGUAAGUGGAAUUCCUGGUGUAGCGGUGAAAUGCGUAGAUAUUAGGAGGAACACCAGUGGCGAAGGCGGCUUACUGGACUGUAACUGACGUUGAGGCGCGAAAGCGUGGGGAGCAAACAGGAUUAGAUACCCUAGUAGUC